GGCGAACGGGUGAGGAAUGCAUCGGAACGUGUCCCGGAGUGGGGGAUAACGCCGCGAAAGCGGCGCUAAUACCGCAUAUGCUCCGAGGAGGAAAGUGGGGGAUUCGCAAGAACCUCACGCUCUGGGAGCGGCCGAUGUCCGAUUAGCUUGUUGGUGGGGUAAUGGCUUACCAAGGCGACGAUCGGUAGCUGGUCUGAGAGGAUGAUCAGCCACACUGGGACUGAGACACGGCCCAGACUCCUACGGGAGGCAGCAGUGGGGAAUUUUGGACAAUGGGGGCAACCCUGAUCCAGCCAUGCCGCGUGCGGGAAGAAGGCCUUCGGGUUGUAAACCGCUUUUAGUCGGGAAGAAAAGGCGCCGGAUAAUACCCGGCGCUGUUGACGGUACCGACGGAAUAAGCACCGGCUAACUACGUGCCAGCAGCCGCGGUAAUACGUAGGGUGCGAGCGUUAAUCGG
rnacentral:rRNA from 1 species